GAUGAACGCUGGCGGCGUGCCUAAUACAUGCAAGUCGAGCGAACAGACGAGGAGCUUGCUCCUCUGACGUUAGCGGCGGACGGGUGAGUAACACGUGGAUAACCUACCUAUAAGACUGGGAUAACUUCGGGAAACCGGAGCUAAUACCGGAUAAUAUAUUGAACCGCAUGGUUCAAUAGUGAAAGACGGUUUUGCUGUCACUUAUAGAUGGAUUCGCGCCGCAUUAGCUAGUUGGUAAGGUAACGGCUUACCAAGGCGACGAUGCGUAGCCGACCUGAGAGGGUGAUCGGCCACCCUGGAACUGAGACACGGUCCAGACUCCUACGGGAGGCAGCAGUAGGGAAUCUUCCGCAAUGGGCGAAAGCCUGACGGAGCAACGCCGCGUGAGUGAUGAAGGUCGUCGGAUCGUAAAACUCUGUUAUUAGGGAAGAACAAAUGUGUAAGUAACUAUGCACGUCUUGACGGUACCUAAUCAGAAAGCCACGGCUAACUACGUG
rnacentral:rRNA from 1 species